GGACGAACGCUGGCGGCGUGCCUAAUACAUGCAAGUCGAACGAGUCCUCCCAAUUUGAUUUUAUGCUUGCAUAAAUGAUUUUUGGAUUCGGGACGAGUGGCGAACUGGUGAGUAACACGUGGGUAACCUGCCCUAAAGCAGGGGAUAACAUUUGGAAACAGAUGCUAAUACCGUAUAAUUAGUUGGAACCACAUGGUUCCAACUUGAAAGAUGGCUCUGCUAUCACUUUAGGAUGGACCCGCGGCGUAUUAGCUAGUUGGUGAGAUAAAAGCUCACCAAGGCGAUGAUACGUAGCCGACCUGAGAGGGUAAUCGGCCACAUUGGGACUGAGACACGGCCCAGACUCCUACGGGAGGCAGCAGUAGGGAAUCUUCCACAAUGGACGAAAGUCUGAUGGAGCAACGCCGCGUGAGUGAAGAAGGGUUUCGGCUCGUAAAACUCUGUUGUUAAAGAAGAACAAGUGUAAGAGUAACUGUUUACGCUUUGACGGUAUUUAACCAGAAAGCCACGGCUAACUACGUGCCAGCAGCCGCGGUAAUACGUAGGUGGCAAGCGUUGUCCGGAUUUAUUGGGCGUAAAGCGAGCGCAGGUGGUCUUUUAAGUCUGUUGUGAAAGCCCUCAGCUCAACUGAGGAAGUGCAGCGGAAACUAGGAGACUUGAGUACAGAAGAGGAUAGUGGAACUCCAUGUGUAGCGGUGAAAUGCGUAGAUAUAUGGGAAGAACACCAGUGGCGAAGGCGGCUAUCUGGUCUGUUACUGACACUGAGGCUCGAAAGCAUGGGUAGCGAACAGGAUUAGAUACCCUGGUAGUCCAUGCCGUAAACGAUGAAUACUAGGUGUUGGAGGGUUUCCGCCCUUCAGUGCCGCAGCUAACGCAUUAAGUAUUCCGCCUGGGGAGUACGACCGCAAGGUUGAAACUCAAAGGAAUUGACGGGGGCCCGCACAAGUGGUGGAGCAUGUGGUUUAAUUCGAUGCUACGCGAAGAACCUUACCAGGUCUUGACAUCUUCUGCCAACCUAAGAGAUUAGGCGUUCCCUUCGGGGACAGAAUGACAGGUGGUGCAUGGUUGUCGUCAGCUCGUGUCGUGAGAUGUUGGGUUAAGUCCCGCAACGAGCGCAACCCUUAUUAUUAGUUGCCAGCAUUAAGUUGGGCACUCUAGUGAGACUGCCGGUGAUAAACCGGAGGAAGGUGGGGAUGACGUCAAAUCAUCAUGCCCCUUAUGACCUGGGCUACACACGUGCUACAAUGGAUGGUACAACGAGUCGCGAAACCGCGAGGUCAAGCUAAUCUCUUAAAGCCAUUCUCAGUUCGGAUUGCAGGCUGCAACUCGCCUGCAUGAAGUUGGAAUCACUAGUAAUCGUGGAUCAGCAUGCCACGGUGAAUACGUUCCCGGGCCUUGUACACACCGC
rnacentral:rRNA from 1 species